AGAAAAUCAGGUCUUGUUGCCCUAAAAGUCCUGUUAUAAAAACUCAUUCACUCAUUUUUAGAAGUGGAGCUGGAGACAGAAAAAAAAAGAGUGAGACGGUUGCGUAAAAUUUAGGUUCAAAUCUGAGUUUUGGUAGAUGCAAAAACACCUCAAAACAGAAAGAAAACACUCAAAAGAGAGAUUUUAAAAGGCUGCUUCAAAACUCAUGAUAUUCUGCAUAAGUUCUGGGUUCAAAAGCUAGUUUGAUUUGAAGAAAGUAUUGGUUUUCUGCUGUUGAUUUCGAGCUGUACCACUGUUUGUCAAGCUGACCCGCAAUCUGUGGAUCUCCAUUUAUUCAUCUGUUGUUUGAGUUUCGUUCCUGAUUCUAAACUAGAUAUGGAUGCUAAGUAAGUGCAUUUGGGUUAAUCUAAAGUCCAAAUCCAAUUUUGGGAAUCAUUGCUUGGAUGUAAUAUUUGAAGUUAUUUGUGAAUUCUGUCUAUUCUGCUCUAAGAAUCAUGUUGGCUUAACUGAAUAGUUCUGAUCCGGGUGAUGUGAAAUUAAUUAGCUAUUUGCUUGUCACAAAAGAAGAAGAAAUGAAUUAUUGUUUACACAUGUCCAAUAUAUAAUCUGUAGUUCAAAAGACAAGUAGCGGGGAAAGACGCAACAUGGAUUGUUCACUAAAUUUGAGGAUUGAAUCAGUGACAACUUUAAUGAAUGAAAUGGGCAGAGAAGCUCCCAAGCAGUGGUCAAAUUUUUAUUUAUUUGAAGUAAAAAUGAAGUUCUAGAUGUUCUGUAAAUUAAUGUGCUUUUGCUGUUGUUUAUUUUUCUAGCCAUGAAGGACAGAUUUGCAUUUUUA